GCUUCUGUGGCUCAGUAGGCAGAGCAUUCGGCUGUUAACCGAAUGGUCGUUGGUUCGAUCCCAACCAGGAGCG
rfam:Polysphondylium pallidum PN500 unplaced genomic scaffold PPL_scaffold1, whole genome shotgun sequence.